UACGUAGGUGGCGAGCGUUGUCCGGAUUUACUGGGCGUAAAGCGCGCGCAGGCGGCAGUCUAAGUCCUCUGUGAAAUCACCCGGCUCAACUGGGUGGCUGCGGAGGAGACUGGGCAGCUUGAGGGGCCUAGAGGCCGGUGGAACUCCCGGUGUAGUGGUGAAAUGCGUAGAGAUCGGGAAGAACACCAGUGGCGAAGGCGGCCGGCUGGGGCGCCCUGACGCUGAGGCGCGAGAGCGCGGGGAGCAAACCGG
rnacentral:rRNA from 1 species